GCCCCCAUCGUCUAGCGGCCCAGGACGUAGCCCUCUCAAGGCUAAAACCGGAGUUCGAGUCUCCGUGGGGGCACCA
rnacentral:tRNA from 1 species